rfam:Gorilla gorilla gorilla genomic chromosome, chr4, whole genome shotgun sequence
UUCCUUUUAGCAGCAAAUAUACUAAAAUUGGAAUGAUGCAAAGAAGAUUAGCUUGGCCCCUGGGCAAGGAUGACACGAAAAUUCGUGAAGCAUUUUAUAUGUAA